UCUAGUGGCGCAAGGGUGAGUAACACGUGGGUAAUCUACCUUCGAGUCUGGAAUAACAGUUAGAAAUGAUUGCUAAUGCCGGAUUAUAUAUAAGAUGAUACGUCAUCAUAUAUUAAAAGGAGCCUUUAAAGCUUCGCUUGAAGAUGAGCCUGCGGCGUAUUAGCUAGUUGGUGAGGUAAUGGCUUACCAAGGCGACGAUGCGUAGCCGACCUGAGAGGGUGAUCGGCCACACUGGGACUGAGACACGGCCCAGACUCC
rnacentral:rRNA from 2 species